GUCAGGGUAGCUCAGCUGGUUAGAGCGCUGGUCUCAUAAGCCGGAGGUCGGGAGUUCAA
rnacentral:tRNA from 1 species